CCAAAUUUCCCAAUGUUCGAAUUUCCCACAAAACCCUAUCUCUGUGAUUUCGUUUUCCCUCUCUUUCUUUUCACGCUCAACUUUAAUGCCUUUCUUCGUGCGAUUCAUCAUUUUCCUCAGUUCUCCCCACCCCACCUUCACGCAACUCAUCUUCGUGCAAUUCGCCGAUGAGCCUGGAAACUAUUUCCCGUCAUCCAUGGAAACUGUUCGUUUCCAGGUCGGAAUCACCAAUUUCCGAUCACUGAAUCGCUCAAGUAGAACCUGCAAAUAAGCCGAUUCACUCCGUCUCAAACCCUUCUUUCCCGCCCAAACCCUCUUCUCCAAACCCUUCUCUCCUCAUUCUCUCACUCAUCUCCGCCACUUCCAUUGUCUCGCCAAAGCCACCGAUCCUCACCACCACCAUCAUGAUCAUUACCACGGUCACAACCACUAUCACCAUCGCCAUCACCAUUACCAGCACAAUCACGAUGGCCAUGCCAAGCUGACUAGGGCACAGGAAGCAUUUCUUCGAUUCUCCGAAACGAUUAGGUGGACCGAUUUAGCGGACUUCUUACGGGAACACUUGGAGCUAUGCUGUUGUGCCAUAGCUCUGUUUAUCGCCGCUACAGCUUGUACCUACUUGCUUCCGAAGCCGGCUGUGAAGCCUCUGCAGCGUGUUUUCAUUCUCAUUGCUUUCCCUCUCGUAGGGUAUGAGUAUUCUCUCCCAAUUUUUCCUAAUUUUGAUUUUGGAUUGAUAAACUGAUAUAAUUUCAUACUCAAUUGGCCUGAAGAUGAAGAGCAAAAUUUGAUGGGUAAGGUGACAAUUUUUCUUAUUUUGGUUAGAUUUGCCCGUGAAAUUGGACUAAUAUGAAUGUAAUGGAGGAAUAUAUCAAGAGGGAGUGAAUAAUUUUUAUUUUAUUUUAUUUUUUAAAAUUGCUGUUAAUGCCAACUAUGUCUUAUGGUAUAGGGCCUUAGGUAGCUAAGAAGCAAUAUGUUCAAAUGAUGAUUGAAACUAAAAUGAGAAUGUUGAGAUGAAUGGGUUGUGUUAUUAGCAAAGAUAGACUAAGAGAAUGAAUUCACUGGCGGAAAUUACCAAUUGAAGAAAAAAAAAAAUUUGAUUGACAUGGUAUGGUCAUGUGUGAAAUAGACCAAGGUUGAUCCUAUUGCAAAGGUAAUUGAUGAUCUCAUAGUUUUAAUAUUGUGGUUAUGGGCCUAAGGUUUUAUUUCUGUGUUUUAGAUAGCUAUUUUUCAGUCCUCUGCUGUUUUAUGGUUCUUUAAUGUAUAGAGCCAGAGCAGUGAAUUUUUUUUUUUUUUGAGUAUUUUUUAAUUUUAGCAGUUCAUAUCUUAGCAUAUACUUAUAAUUUGUUUGUUUCCUUAAUUUGAUUGGACCCUAGACUACAUUUAUCAGCAUGUUCUGGACAGGCACAGGUGGUAAGCUAUCUGUGCAAGAACAAGGCAGAUGUUGGUGCCGCUGCUAUGGAUGACGUGGGCGCUUCAAGAGAGUAAGCGUAAAAUGAACAAUGCGACUAGAGGGAUCGAAGAAGAAGAACGAAAACUCGAAGCAGCUAUUGAAGAAACAGAAAAGUAGUGCGCUCAAGUGACUGCCGAACUGAAGGAAUUGGAGUUAAAAUCUAGCAGCUUUAAUGAGUUAGAGGAGCGGUAUUGGCAUGAGUUCAAUAAUUUUCAGUUUCAGUUAAUUUCACAUCAGAUGAUACUAUACUGUUUUGUGAAGCUGAAUGGGAGAAGGUUUUAAACAUUAAAGGAAUACUGCGAUGCUUUGAAAUUAUGUCGGGCCUACAAAUCAAUUACCAUAAGAGUGUGGUGUAUGGGGUGGAUAUUCAUUCAGAUCUCUGUCAAGAAUUUGCUUCCAAAUUACACUGCCUUCAUCAAACACUACCUUUGAAAUACUUGGGAUUACCUUUGGGGGCCACUCCUAGUAGAAAGAAAACCUGGCAACCUGUCAUAGAAAAGCUUAAAUUAAAGCUUGCCUCAUGGAAAAGAAGAUAUUCCUCUCAUUUGCAGGUAGACUAACACUAAUAAAAGCUGUGUUGUCUAGUUUGCCUAUAUAUUAUUUUUCUCUGUUUAGGAUGCCAUCAGGAGUAACAAAGGAGAUUGCUAAAAUUCAAGCAGCUUUUCUUUGGGGAGGUUCAAAUCUUAAAAGAAAAAUUCAUUUGGUUAAAUGGGGUGAUGUUACUCUUAGUAAAAGUUAAGGAGGGUUGGGUGUGAAAAGAAUAGGUUUGGGGCAGAAGAGAAAUCCCUUUGGAAGGAUGUGAUUUGUAAAAAGUACUAUGGGUCUAUUGAUUUGUGGUCACCUGAACUUGUAAGAGUUGGUAAGAUGUCCAAAAUAUGGAAAGAUAUUGCGGGAAUUGUGUUAUCUAAACCUGAAGUGCUGGGUUUUUUUCAUUCAAAUUCUACAAUUGUUCUUAGGGAUGGUCGGAGGUCAAGGUUUUGGCUUGAUAGCUAGGCAAGAUCUGGUUGCUUAAAGGAUGUGUUUCCUAGACUUUUCUUAUUGGCAGUGUUCAAAACUGAAUCUGUGUUUUCGGUGAGAAAUAGAGUUGGUCAAGAUGAUUGGAACUCAUUGUUUAAAAGGAGUUUGUUCGAGUGGGAAAUGGAGGAGUUAGACAAAUUGAAGAGAUUGUCACAUACUGUACCGGAAUUAAGGGUUAAUGUAACUGAUAAACUAAAAUGGAAUGCGGAUUCCUCAGGAGUGUUCACUGUCUCAUCAACAUACCAUUGGUGUAAAUCCUCUUUUGGUCCUACUUACAGGGUGACAGAGUGUAUUUGGAAGAAUGUGGCACCCCCAAAAGUUCAAUUCUUUGGCUGGCUUGCUUGGAAGAGAAGGAUUAAGACAUCUAAUUAUCUUCAAAGGAAGGGGAUUUUGGAUAAUCAUACUAAUUUUCAUUGUGUGUUCUGCAAUGAGGAGGAGGAAACAGACAAUCAUGUGCUCUUGCAUUGCCAUUUUGUUUGAUUAGUUUGGUCCAAAAUUAUGAAAUGGUGGGGUAUUCAAUGGGUGAUAUCAAAAUCUAUGGAUGAGUUGCUACAUUGGUGGUCAGGAACAAAAUUGAAGAAAUUAGAGAAGAAGAUUUGGAGAAUCACUCCGUUUGCGGUGUUCUGGUCAAUAUAGAAAUUAAGGAAUUAUUGUAUUUUUAACAAUGCCCAACCUAGCUUGGAGAAGCUCUGUGAUUUGGUCAAAGUGAGAAUUGCACUAUGGAUCAAAGCAUCAUGCUCAGGAUUGUUAUUCUCAGUGAAUGAUAUUAUCUUUAAUAUACAUCAGGUCAGAAUUUGUUCUAGGUGAGAGGCUAUCUGGUAUGUUUGUUGAUUGUUGUAUGCUGCUGAUUGUUCCAGGUGUAUGGUGGUCUGAUUUUCUGUUGUAUGUUGCUGAUUGCUGCUGUGUGGUGCAUGGUUUUGGGGGAUGCUGUAGUAGUGAAUCUCUUGUGUACAUCUUAGGAGAUGCUGAGUUCUGUGAUGGUUGUCUGAUAAACUACUGUGAUGGUGAAUCUCUUGUGUAGAUCCUAGGAGCUGCUGAGUUCAGUGCUGAGGCCUGCUUUGUUGUUGUUUUUUGGGAUGUUGUAGUGGUGAAUCUCUUGUGUAGAUCCUAGGAGUUGAGUCCUCUUCUGUUGCUACUGUGUGGUGCUUAGUGGUGAAUCUCUUGCGUUGAUCCUUGGUGCUGUUGAGUUCAAUGUUGUAGCGGUCUGAUGUUGUAUGCUGGUUGACUAACAGGGGAGCUGAAAUGCUGAUGCCGCUGGUUUAUUGCUUGCUGCAUGUGCUGUUUUGCAUUAUGAACUGAUGGGGUUGGUCUGUGAUCUACCAACUGCUGUGCUUUGUGAUGGCUACUACUGUUAUGGUUUGCUGGUGUUCUGUGUAGGCAGUGUUCAUGUUGAGUUGGCUACUGCUAUUUCUGUUGUUAUGGAUUGUUGUUUUGUUUUGUCUAGUCAAUGAUCAUUCAACUUGGAUGUUGCCGUUGCUUUUCUUUA